UGCUCGGUUGCCCUUUUGUGCAUCGUCUGAAGAAGCACUUAUCUCCAGAACCAUCCCCUGCUAAGCUGUUGGAAGACGUCUUCAACCACCCGCAUCGCCAGCACCGCGUUGCCGCGGCGUGGACAACGACAACGACCAGCACUACUGCAGCAGGAGAGGAGGAGAUGAAGGCAGAAGUCAUUUCUCAGAAGAGUGGAUGAUGUGGAAGAUAUGAGGAGGGUUCUGGAGACGCAUGGAAACUUGCGUACAAGAAGAAGAUGUAGACCUACCAUCUCCUGCGGAUGUGCUACCCUUCCUGAGGAUUCUGUCAUUCCACAUCUACUGAUUCCUCAAGAUUAAUUUUGGUAAGCACAGAUUCUGUACUGUCUGUUCAUUAAAUGCACAGGGGGGUAUUCUAAGUAUGUGGUUUGGUGGCAGAGUUAAUUUGAGCAGUGGUGCUUACAGCUUUACUCCCUUUGAAGGAGUGCCUGCAAUGGAGGUGCGCUUUGAUGAGGUA